rnacentral:rRNA from 1 species
UACGGUGGGAGCAAGCGUUGUCCGGAAUCACUGGGCGUAAAGGGCGCGUAGGCGGCAGGCCAAGCGUGCGGUGAAAGUCCGGGGCUCAACCCCGGAUCUGCCGUGCGGACUGGUUUGCUAGAGCACUGUAGAGGCGAGUGGAAUUCCGGGUGUAGCGGUGGAAUGCGUAGAGAUGUGGAGGAAUACCGAUGGCGAAGGCAGCCCCCUGGGCCAAUACUGACGCUCAUGCACGAAAGCGUGGGGAGCAAACAGG